GUGCUCCUUUCAGCAGCACAUAUAUAAAAAUGGAACAAUACAGAGAAGAUCAGCAUGGCCUCUGUGCAAGGGGGACACACAAAUUCAUGAAGUAUUUUUUUU
ensembl:snRNA U6 U6 spliceosomal RNA